AAUGUCACCUCUUACAUUGUUUUCUCCCACACUGUUAAUCAAGCAGUUUAUUAUUCCUUCCUUUUAGCUGUGGUCUCAGGACUUUAUUUCUGAACCGCAUGCUGUUAAUAAAACAUGUUCUAGGGGAACUGACACUGUUUCUGUUUGUAAUGUUAGAAAUAGACUCUGUGUUCUUGUAAUGAUGGGCUGAAAUGGAAAGAUCUCUUGGAAUAUUAGACAUCUAUCAAGAAGUGAAAUUAUUCCUCUGGCGGUUUUGGAUUCCUCUAAUGCAAGAUGGAUAAUAUGAAUAGAGUGUCAGAUGAACUGCAGGUUAAAUAAAGCUGGUGUAUACCUUGGAACAUCUGAUUUAAAGUAGUUUGAUUUCCUGUCAAAUGCGAUUGAUUUAUUUUUUGGAAGUGUGAAGAAAGAUUAAAAGAUUUGAAGAAAUAUAGUUCAAAAUGUAAUAUGGUGUAUAGUUCACUGCAGCAUAAUGGAAAAGGUACAUGGGAUCAUGUAUUGCUGGCCCUUUCAUGUGUUCUGCAGCAGAAGACUAUUAGCUUCAUUGUUUGUAAGGAAUAUCCCAGCUGGUCAGUGAGGUGAUAGCCUGUCAAGCAGCAGAGAAUGAAAGCCAGGUCUGGCAAGUCUGCCUUUCUUCUGACUGAUAUUUCUGAUUUCCGUAGCUGAGCCUUUGGCAGGGAGCCUGGAGUGAAGUAGGUGGAGAGGGGAGUUCAGAUGGUGUGAAGCAUCUGAGGAUUGGUUUCUUAAGAGUGCAUUUCCAAUUUGUCAGGAGGCACUGCAUAUAGCGAGACUGAUCCAGAAGAACAAGUGCUGUGUAACUGUGCUGAAGAGAGCUUUUCUGGAGGAUAAUCCCUAGGAAAAAAGCAACUGGAUGAAUGAGUGGAGCAUGCUCAACUAAUAUUUUCUGCUGGUGGUUUGAGGUUGUUUCUUUCUCUUCUGUGACUGAUUCAGGGGCUCAGGGCCAUUCUCGUCUUGAGAAACUGUAAGAAUUACCACACAGAGUUGCCUACUGUAGAGGCAACUAUCACUGCUGAAAUUCUCAUAAGCAAGGAAAAAAAAGCUUAAGGCAGAUAAUGGAUAACAGAUAGCACAUGCAAGAGUUCAACAACUUGCUCUUCUUCAGCUUCUGCAGUCUUAAACUUUGUCUCCUUUUUCUUUCUCCUCUCUCCUCUAGCAACACGUAGCGUUCUAGCACCAUUAUUAGUACUGAACAAAAU
rnacentral:lncRNA from 1 species